GAUGAACGCUGGCGGCGUGCUUAACACAUGCAAGUCGAACGAGAAGUGAAGACGGAAACCUUCGGGCGGAAGGCUUUAUUUCGAGUGGCGGACGGGUGAGUAACGCGUGGGUAACCUGCCUCAUACAGGGGGAUAACAGUUGGAAACGACUGUUAAUACCGCAUAAGACCACAGCACCGCAUGGUGCGGGGGUAAAAACUCCGGUGGUAUGAGAUGGACCCGCGUUCGAUUAGCCAGUUGGCGGGGUAACGGCCCACCAAAGCGACGAUCGAUAGCCGAUCUGAGAGGAUGACCGGCCACAUUGGGACUGAGACACGGCCCAAACUCCUACGGGAGGCAGCAGUGGGGAAUAUUGCACAAUGGGGGAAACCCUGAUGCAGCGACGCCGCGUGAGUGAAGAAGUAUUUCGGUAUGUAAAGCUCUAUCAGCAGGGAAGAAAAUGACGGUACCUGAGUAAGAAGCCCCAGCUAACUACGUG
rnacentral:rRNA from 1 species